AUUGAACGCUGGCGGCAGGCCUAACACAUGCAAGUCGAGCGGAGCUGCGGACGGGUGAGUAAUGCCUAGGAAUCUGCCUGGUAGUGGGGGAUAACGUCCGGAAACGGGCGCUAAUACCGCAUACUAUCAGAUGAGCCUAGGUCGGAUUAGCUAUUUGGUGGGGUAAAGGCCUACCAAGGCGGCGAUCCGUAACUGGUCUGAGCGGAUGACUAGUCAAACUGGAACAGAGACCCGGUCCAAACUCCUAAGGGAUGAAGCAGUGGGGAAUAUUGGAUAAUGGGCGAAAGCCUGACCCAGCCAUGCCGCGUGUGUGAAGAAGGUCUUCGGAUUGUAAAGCACUUUAAGUUGGGAGGCGUUACCAACAGAAUAAGCACCGGCUAACUUCGUGCCAGCAGCCGCGGUAAUAC
rnacentral:rRNA from 1 species